rnacentral:rRNA from 1 species
UACGUAGGGGGCAAGCGUUGUCCGGAAUUAUUGGGCGUAAAGGGCUCGUAGGCGGUUUGUCGCGUCUGCCGUGAAAGUCCGGGGCUCAACUCCGGAUCUGCGGUGGGUACGGGCAGACUAGAGUGAUGUAGGGGAGACUGGAAUUCCUGGUGUAGCGGUGAAAUGCGCAGAUAUCAGGAGGAACACCGAUGGCGAAGGCAGGUCUCUGGGCAUUAACUGACGCUGAGGAGCGAAAGCGUGGGGAGCGAACAGG